GUAGUUAGCCGGGGCUUCCUCCUUGGGUACCGUCACUUUCUUCGUCCCCAAGGACAGAGGUUUACAAUCCGAAAACCUUCUUCCCUCACGCGGCGUUGCUGGGUCAGAGUUGCCUCCAUUGCCCAAUAUUCCCCACUGCUGCCUCCCGUAGGAGUCUGGACCGUAUCUCAGUUCCAGUGUGGCCGAUCACCCUCUCAGGUCGGCUACCCAUCGUUGGCUUGGUGGGCCGUUACCUCACCAACUACCUAAUGGGACGCGAGCCCCUCUACAAGCGAUAAAUCUUUUACCCCUGUGCCAUGCAGCACUGUGGUCUCAUGCGGUAUUAGCAGCCGUUUCCAGCUGUUGUCCCCCUCUUGUAGGCAGGUCGCUCACGCGUUACUCACCCGUCCGCCACUAACACUUCUCAGGUGCAAGCACCCGAUGAUGUCCGUUCGACUUGCAUGUGUUAAGCCACGCCGCACGCGUCGUCUCGACGACACUAACUACAACUACUAGACGUAGAGGCGGCGNGGACGACGGACGCA
rnacentral:rRNA from 1 species